rnacentral:misc_RNA from 1 species
AAGUCGUAACAAGGUUUCCGUAGGUGAACCUGCGGAAGGAUCAUUAAUAAAUAAAUCUCAAUGGGCUUUUGCUCUCUUGCACAAAGCCCAUUAACCCCCCACCUCUGUGAACUGUCUACUGUAAUUCCUCCUCAUCUGGAGAGUGUCCGGUCGGAAAGGGUUUUGGCUCUGGCCUCUGCUCGGACCCCCGCGGCACUCUUUAACGUGGAGGGUAAAUAUUUUUCACUCUGCACUGGCGCUGGGCCCGAGGCUCUGGCACAGGCGCUUUUUUCCGCGUCAUUUUCUUGAACUCUCUUUUUAAGUAAAGAGGGAAUAAUAACCAAGUAACAACUUUCAACAACGGAUCUCUUGGCUCCCA